ACUGAACCCAACAGACGUGGCCCAUCGGCAUGUUUCUACUCCCGGGACGCACAUUGACUCGUGGCUUAGAAUUCAGGUUCACAUCUGCUACCUGUUUGCCUCCUGCAAGAAGAAGGGGAGUGAGGGAGGUAAGGGGAGACCAAUGGGGGGGCUGAGGGCUUGGUUUCAGCUCCGGCGCCUAAUGGCGACGCCAAGGUCUCACCCUUCUCCGCAGCACCAAUCCCUUCUCCCAUCUCCUCAUCUAUCUCCAUAUCUCCCUAAGAACGGUAGCCCUCUCUCAUCUCUUUUGAGGUUCUUCUCCUCGAAUCCUGCCAUCUCUGGUGUGUAUGAGAGUGGUUUUGUUGGUGGGCAUCAGGUUUAUAGCCAUGGGAGUGCGGUGGAGUCUGGGGAAGAAGAGGACGUGGUUAGAUAUGUACCUGUUAAGGCCUACUUCCUCUGUACUAGUAUUAAUUUGAAGAGCAUGCAGACCGAGAAUGCGUGCAAUGUAAUUCCACCUACUUCUCGCUCGUCAAAUUAUGUCGCCCUCCGCUACUCUGAUUUCCCUCCAGAAAUUACGGACAUUGGAGUCAAGGAGAGUGGACAUUGUUACCGCUAUGUGGUUGUAUUCCAGUAUGGUUCUGCUGUUCUCUUCAACAUUGCAGAUCAUGAAGCUGAGCAAUACCUAGAUUUAAUUCGGAAACAUGCUUUUGGGUUGCUCCCAGAGAUGAGAAAGGAUGAUUAUGCUGUAGUCGAAAAGCCAUUACUUGAUACAUGGAUGCAAGGAGGACUUGACUACAUAGUUCUUAAAAGUCUGGAUAUUGAUGGGAUACGCAUAAUUGGAAGCGUACUUGGCCAAAGCAUUGCUCUUGAUCAUUAUAUACGACAGGUUGACGAUAUGGUUGAGGAAUUCACAGAUAUAAAUCGUGUUAUGGAAAAGACUGGAACUUUUACCAUGAAAAGGAAGAAACUAUUUCAACUUGUUGGGAAGGCAAACUCAAGUCUAGCUGAUGUGAUUAUAAAGCUGGGCCUUUUUGAUAGAUAUGAUAACAUAAUGAUUCCAAUAUCAAGUUUGACUGGACUAUCCCUACCGUAUAUCCACCACUAUAAUGGGUGUCAGAGGCAUGGCAGAUCUCCAGCCAUAACAACAUGAACUCUAUGGCUUGUAGGUCUGAGAUUGCUUGGAAAAAUGCAAACUAUGCCCAGAUUUUGGAGUAUCUCCGAGAGGAGUAUGAACUGACUCAACGCUUUGGAAACCUUGAUUUCAAACUGAAAUUUGUAGAGCACAACAUCCAUUUUCUUCAAGAAGUCCUUCAGAACAGAAGAUCUGAUCUCUUGGAAUGGGGAGUCAUUAUAUUGUUAACCAUUGAGAACAUCAUUUCAAUGUAUGAAAUCAUCAAAGAUUCCAACAUAGUCCCCUCUUGAGAUGCACCGGUGACCUACUACCUCAUCCAUAUCCUGGCAGUGCUGUUGGAGUUGGCUCCGGAGUCUUUCCUCCCUAGCCUUUCACCCCCAAUAUUCCUCAGUUUUUGUUGUCUUCGCUCCAAAUAUACCUCAAUAUGCUAUACCAUUGCCUUUUCCAAUACUUGCAGUUAAAAAGCAUUUUAUCAUAUAUUUUCAGAGAAUCCAUUCCCUUAUGGUGAUUUGGAUGUGGACCAUUUACCUCCAGCAUGCCCAUUAACCUUGCAGUCUUUGAAAGGUUUGCAGCUUCUUUGACACUUUUGGCUCCCCUCUUCGGUCACUUUUUAAUUUAAGGAACUGAUUUCCAGUGUCUUAGUUUCAGUAGCACACCUCUAACCCUCCUAUAUAUUGAACUCUUUGCCUUAAAUACAGUACCCUGAAAUUCUUAAGAGGGUUCAUGUUUUGAAAUAAAUUAUUCAGAUAUCACUGCACUUAGAUUAUUUUUUUAAUGUUGAGUCACCAUUGAGUGAUUUAUCUUCUCAGAUUUACUGUAAACAAACAGAAAGUUAUGGAUGGAAUUGUUAUGAUAUAUUGAUUCAUUUUUCUUCGAUUCA